rnacentral:rRNA from 1 species
GGACGAACGCUGGCGGCGUGCCUAAUCCCUGCAAGUCGAACGCUUCUUUCCUCCCGAGUGCUUGCACUCAAUUGGAAAGAGGAGUGGCGGACGGGUGAGUAACACGUGGGUAACCUACCCAUCAGAGGGGGAUAACACUUGGAAACAGGUGCUAAUACCGCAUAACAGUUUAUGCCGCAUGGCAUAAGAGUGAAAGGCGCUUUCGGGUGUCGCUGAUGGAUGGACCCGCGGUGCAUUAGCUAGUUGGUGAGGUAACGGCUCACCAAGGCCACGAUGCAUAGACGACCGGAGAGGGGGAUAGGACACACUGGGACUGAGACACGGCCAAGAGUCCUACGGGAGGCAGCAGUAGGGAAUGUUCGGCAAUGGACGAAAGUCUGACCGAGCAACGCCGCGUGAGUGAAGAAGGUUUUCGGAUCGUAAAACUCUGUUGCUAGAGAAGAACAAGGACGUUAGUAACUGAACGUCCCCUGACGGUAACUAACCAGAAAGCCACGGCUAACUACGUG